GAUGAAGAACGCAGCGAAAUGCGAUACGUAAUGUGAAUUGCAGAAUUCAGUGAAUCAUCGAAUCUUUGAACGCAUAUUGCGCUCUUUGGUAUUCCGAAGAGCAUGCUUGUUUGAGUAUCAGUAAACACCUCAAAGCUUUUGGAUUUUUUAAUCGAAAAGCUUUGGACUUGAGCAAUCCCAACACCAAUCUUUAUGAGAUCGGUGGCGGGUUGCUUGAAAUGCAGGUGCAGCUGGACAUUCUCCUGAGCUAAAAGCAUAUUCAUUUAGUCCCGUCAAACGGAUUAUUACUUUUGCUGCAGCUAACAUAAAGGGAGUUUGACCGUAUUGGCUGACUGAUGCAGGAUUUCACAAGGGUCGGCAACGAUUCUUGUUAAACUCGAUCUCAAAUCAAGUAAGACUACCCGCUGAACUUAAGCAUAUCAAUAAGCGGAGGA
rnacentral:misc_RNA from 1 species